AUAGAUGUCAUUGCUGAGUGAUAUUGCAUUUUACAAUCAUCAUACCUGAAUCCACUCAUUAUGCUGCUACGGGCCUGAUGACAUAGAUUUCAUUGCUGAGUGAUAUUGCAUUGAACAAUCAUCAUACCUGAAUCCACUCAUUAUGCUCCUA